CACAAGACCAGUAUUUCUAGACGAGUUUAAGGUCAAGUAGUGACGAGAAUAACAAUUUACUGAGCAGUUUCGAUUGCAUUAAGUCUAGUUCGUAUCCAGUUCACGACUUAUAUAUUUAUUUUAGUUUGUGAAAUGAAUAAACAAAGUUGACCAUGAAUUUUUUGUAGUGGUUUUGUGCUGCGUAUUUAUUUCAAUCAUUUUUUUUAUAUUAUUAUUAUAGAACGCGACCAUUCGGCGCGACCAUGAAGGUGUAUAGAAUUUAUAAAAUAUGUUUUCGGAAUUGUAAAAUAAAACAAGCAUA